rnacentral:misc_RNA from 1 species
UAUGCGGAAGAGUGCCAUGUG